rnacentral:rRNA from 1 species
UUGUCGAACACGAAACUCGUCUAAAGUGUUUUAAUUUGGCCUUUUUAAUCAUAAAUGUUGAUACAUAUAUGUAUAUACAUGUGGCAAUCGACAGAAGGGUAGUCAUUAGCGGUUAACACAAUUAUUCGUUGCGAAAAGGAAAACUUAUUUCAACCGUUCUAUAAUACAUACUUCACUCUACAUUAUGUUGAAAAAGGAGAUUUUGAUAYAAAUGCCAGAAAAAAGUGCCUCCCAUAAAAAUAAACUCGGGCGGUAGAGACACAA